rnacentral:tRNA from 1 species
AAGAAAAUGACAGAAUGGGUAUGUGUCUGGCUUGAAACCGGAUGAUGGAGGUUCAAUUCCUUCUUUUCUUG